AUUGAACGCUGGCGGCAGGCUUAACACAUGCAAGUCGAGCGGUAACAGGGAGAAGCUUGCUUCUUUGCUGACGAGCGGCGGACGGGUGAGUAAUGCCUGGGAAUCUGCCUGGUANUGGGGGAUAACUUGCCGAAAGGUAAGCUAAUACCGCGUACGCCCCAUGGGGGAAAGCAGGGGAUCUUCGGACCUUGCGCUAUCAGAUGAGCCCAGGCCGGAUUAGCUAGUUGGUGGGGUAAAGGCCUACCAAGGCGACGAUCCGUAGCUGGUCUGAGAGGAUGAUCAGCCACACCGGGACUGAGACACGGCCCGGACUCCUACGGGAGGCAGCAGUGGGGAAUAUUGGACAAUGGGGGGAACCCUGAUCCAGCCAUGCCGCGUGUGUGAAGAANGUCUUCGGAUUGUAAAGCACUUUAAGUUGGGAGGAAGGGUUUCUGGUUAAUACCCGGGAAUUUUGACGUUACCAACAGAAUAAGCACCGGCUAACUUCGUGCCAGCAGCCGCGGUAAUACGAANGGUGCGAGCGUUAAUCGGAAUUACUGGGCGUAAAGCGCGCGUAAGUGGUUUGUUUAA
rnacentral:rRNA from 1 species